UGGAUCAGGAGAGAGGCAGG
rnacentral:misc_RNA from 1 species